rnacentral:rRNA from 1 species
UGCUUUGGCGGCUCCGGCCGCCAAAGGACCUUCAAACUCCAGUCAGUAAACGCAGACGUCUGAUAAACAAGUUAAUAAACUAAAACUUUCAACAACGGAUCUCUUGGUUCUGGCAUCGAUGAAGAACGCAGCGAAAUGCGAUAAGUAAUGUGAAUUGCAGAAUUCAGUGAAUCAUCGAAUCUUUGAACGCACAUUGCGCCCCUUGGUAUUCCGGGGGGCAUGCCUGUUCGAGCGUCAUUACAACCCUCAAGCUCUGCUUGGAAUUGGGCACCGUCCUCACUGCGGACGCGCCUCAAAGACCUCGGCGGUGGCUGUUCAGCCCUCAAGCGUAGUAGAAUACACCUCGCUUUGGAGCGGUUGGCGUCGCCCGCCGGACGAACCUUCUGAACUUUUCUCAAGGUUGACCUCGGAUCAGGUAGGGAUACCCGCUGAACUUAAGCAUAUCAAUAAGCGGAGGAAAAGAAACCAACAGGGAUUGCCUUAGUAACGGCGAGUGAAGCGGCAACAGCUCAAAUUUGAAAGCUGGCCCUUUUAGGGUCCGCAUUGUAAUUUGUAGAGGAUGAUUCGGCGAGGGCUCCUGCCUAAGUCCCCUGGAACGGGGCGUCAUAGAGGGUGAGAAUCCCGUAUGCGGUAGGUUGCCUUAGCCAUGUGAAUCUCCUUCGACGAGUCGAGUUGUUUGGGAAUGCAGCUCUAAAUGGGAGGUAAAUUUCUUCUAAAGCUAAAUACCGGCCAGAGACCGAUAGCGCACAAGUAGAGUGAUCGAAAGAUGAAAAGCACUUUGGAAAGAGAGUUAAAAAGUACGUGAAAUUGUUGAAAGGGAAGCGCUUGCAACCAGACUUGUCCGCAGUUGCUCAGCCGGUCUCCUGACCGGCGUACUCUUCUGCGGCCAGGCCAGCAUCAGUUCGGGCGGUCGGAUAAAGGCCUCGGGAAUG